AUUGAACGCUGGCGGCAGGCCUAACACAUGCAAGUCGAGCGAGCGGCGGACGGGUGAGUAAUGUAUGGGGACUGCACGAUAGAGGGGGAUAACUACGGGAAACGGUAGCAAAUACCGCAUACUAUCGGAUAACCCAUAUGGGAUUAGCUAGUAGUUGAGGUAAUGGCUCACCUAGGCGACGAUCCCUAGCUGGUCUGAGAGGAUGAUCAGCCACACUGGUACUGAGACCCGGCCCAGACUCCUGCGGAGGCAGCCAUGGUGAAUAUUGCACACUGGGCGCAAGCCUGAUGCAGCCAUGCCGCGUGUAUGAAGAAGGCACUCGGGUUGUAAAGGACUUUCAGUCGGGAGGCGUUACCGACAGAAGAGGCCCCGGCUAACUCCGUGCCAGCAGCCGCGGUAAUUC
rnacentral:rRNA from 1 species